CGGCCGCGGUAUUAUGACCGUGCAAAGGUAGCGUAAUCACUUGUCUUUUAAAUAAAGACCAGUAUGAAUGGCGAAACGAGAGCCAAGCUGUCUCUCCUAGCAAGUCAGUGAAAUUGAUUUUCCCGUGCAGAAGCGGGAAUACCAUUACAAGACGAGAAGACCCUAUGGAGCUUCAAGCAAAAACUAACCCUGCAAAACAAACUAUAAGCAACCCUUAGCAAACGCUUUAGGUUGGGGCGACCACGGGAGAAAAUGAAACCCCCGAGAUGAAUUAGCUUAGAAAAACACAUCAAAGCAACAAAAACCUUGACAUAUUGACCCAAUAUUUGAUCAACGAACCAAGUUACCCUAGGGAUAACAGCGCAAUCUUCUCAUAGAGUCCUUAUCGACGAGAAGGUUUACGACCUCGAUGUUGGAUCAGGGCCCCCAAAUGGUGCAGCAGCUAUUUAAGGUUCGUUUGUUCAACGAUUAAAGCCCUACGUGAU
rnacentral:rRNA from 1 species